rnacentral:sRNA from 1 species
UUUUUUUGCGGGAAUCUUUUUUUGGUGGGAAAAUUUUGUUGGCGGUAAAAUUUUGGCGGGAAAUUUAUUUUUGGAAUAUUUUAAGCGGGUAAAAUGAAUAUUUUAUUUUGUUAACCUAAACUUUUUUCCAAAUAGGGGUAAAAUAGUCAUUAAAAAUUAAAAGAGGGUAUAAAUGAAAAUGACAACAUGAAAGGGCAUAAAUGAAAGAAGUAGUGGUGAAAGGGCAUUCUUAGCAAGUAUUCAUUUUUUCUAUUGUCAUCAUUACUUUCACCUCCGCUUCUUCGUUAUAGUCUUCAUCUUCAUCUUCCUCGUUAUCUUUUUCAUUUUUUUCCUCAUCCUUUGCAUAUUAUUCUAUAUAAAAUAUUCGUUAUUAUGUAGCUAAAAACAGAGUAAGAAAUUUAAACUUAGUAACCUUAACCAAACAUAGUUCAAUAAACUUAUGAAUUAACUAAUAAAACGACUUAGUUCAUUUCACCUUCUCAAUUCGAAAUUCGAUCCCUUAGUUCCCAUCUCCCGUAUACUCUACCAAAUUUCAGAUUAUUCCGAGUAAGUUGGAAUUUUGUUUGUUAUCUCCACAUAUUUGGUCAGAUCUGAAAUUUGAAAGAAAUCUUCUCGAACUUGUUGAAGAAGUUGUUUCAAUCUAUAUCCCACCAUUCAACCUCAUGACAGUAAUAUCAGACACCUCGUCAUUAUGUUGAGCUACAUAUAUAUGAACUAAA